CACUCCGGUUAAAUUAUAUCACGCAAUCUGAAUUUUGCUUCAUAUUUUCUGUAGUUUCCUGACAAAAUUCUAUGGAUAGAACUUCUUUAAUAAUCAAUUUUUUCGUACGCGGAAUUAUAUAAAUAUAAGAAAACCUCGAAUUUCGAUGAAUUGUGAGAAUUGGAAUUAUUGAAUGUAUAUUGAAAAUCGAAUCAGAGAUAUGCAUGCCGUUCCCGCACUGCCAAAUUG